rnacentral:rRNA from 1 species
AAUAGAUACCCGGUAGUCCACGCCGUAAACGAUGAGUGCUAAGUGUUAGAGGGUUUCCGCCCUUUAGUGCUGCAGCUAACGCAUUAAGCACUCCGCCUGGGGAGUACGGCCGCAAGGCUGAAACUCAAAGGAAUUGACGGGGGCCCGCACAAGCGGUGGAGCAUGUGGUUUAAUUCGAAGCAACGCGAAGAACCUUACCAGGUCUUGACAUCCUCUGCCAACCCUAGAGAUAGGGCGUUCCCCUUCGGGGGACAGAGUGACAGGUGGUGCAUGGUUGUCGUCAGCUCGUGUCGUGAGAUGUUGGGUUAAGUCCCGCAACGAGCGCAACCCUUGAUCUUAGUUGCCAGCAUUCAGUUGGGCACUCUAAGGUGACUGCCGGUGACAAACCGGAGGAAGGUGGGGAUGACGUCAAAUCAUCAUGCCCCUUAUGACCUGGGCUACACACGUGCUACAAUGGAUGGUACAAAGAGCUGCGAACCCGCGAGGGUAAGCCAAUCUCAUAAAGCCAUUCUCAGUUCGGAUUGUAGG